ensembl:miRNA MIR649 microRNA 649
GGCCUAGCCAAAUACUGUAUUUUUGAUCGACAUUUGGUUGAAAAAUAUCUAUGUAUUAGUAAACCUGUGUUGUUCAAGAGUCCACUGUGUUUUGCUG